rfam:Gossypium raimondii Chr05_contig_803, whole genome shotgun sequence.
AAGAGUAGAAUGAUAAAUCUGAUUUUUUUUUCUGAUUUUUAGUUUUUUACUCCUAUAAAAUUUCAAAUUCAACUAAAAAUGGUAAAAGUCAGGAAGAAAAAUCUGAUUUGUCAUUCCCUUAUU